rnacentral:tRNA from 1 species
UGGCUCAAUGGUUGAGUGUUGGGCUGCUAACCAAAAAGUCAGUGGUUCAAACCCACC